CCCGCCGCUCCAGACCCCGGAGGAGGGCAGCGCGACCCUCCCCAUCUUGUUACUGGUACUCAGCCACUGGGGACACUGACUGAAUGUUCGCCCCUAACUUACCCGGAAAACACGAGAACUAGUUCGAUGUCGUUUCAACCUUACCAAACUCUGCGGAAACUUAGGAAAUUAUCUUUAGUGUCUAGAUAGGGGAAUUGUUAGAUGGACUUGAAGUCUCUCACCUCCUGUUGUACGCCUCCCGGAAGCAACACCAGGAGUCCAACGGGAUCCCAAACCAGAGCCCAACCAGUAUCCUAUAAAGUCUUCAGAGAGGGAUCCCCUCCAGGCUGGGGAGAAACAGGACAACCUAACAAAACAGGGCCUGGACUCCUCCCUAAACAGACCACGUUUUUCUCCGCUCUUCCCCUUCCCACUCCCUGAAAUCUAGACUAAAACUCUUUUAAGAUAACUGCGAGGUAUAAAGAACGUCUAGAGCCUAAGCGGCCCGUUGCCAGAUUCUACUCCUCAGGCCUCAAAUGUGAGCGCCCCAAACAUUCUAGAGCUGAACCUGGCGGGCAAGGCCCCCGAUCACGUGAUACCGCCCCCCAACUCCGGGCGGAAGAGGCCAGCGACAGCGCUGCACGAAGCGAGUGGGCGGGCGCUCGUGCCCGGCUAAAAGAUGGCUGCUGGCGCCUGGCAGCCACCGCCUGGGAGGUUACUGUAAGGCCCGCAGCUCCCGCCAGCUCCCGCGGACUGCUGCCGCCUCCUUACCAUGAAGCCAGUAAGUCGUCGCACGCUGGACUGGAUUUAUUCAGUGUUGCUGCUUGCCAUCGUUUUAAUCUCCUGGGGCUGCAUCAUCUAUGCUUCGAUGGUGUCUGCAAGACGACAGCUAAGGAAGAAAUACCCAGACAAAAUCUUUGGGACGAAUGAAAAUUUGUAACUCUUCUGGAUUUAAUUAUCUGAAAAUACAGUUCUUUCCCUCAUGCUUAUGUAGAUAUAAAAAUAAAAUUCAUAAUGCAAAGUUCCCAAGUUUA
rnacentral:lncRNA from 1 species